rnacentral:rRNA from 1 species
GAUGAACGCUGGCGGCGUGCUUAACACAUGCAAGUCGAACGGAAAGGCCUCUGCUUGCAGGGGUACUCGAGUGGCGAACGGGUGAGUAACACGUGGGUGAUCUGCCCUGCACUUCGGGAUAAGCCUGGGAAACUGGGUCUAAUACCGGAUAGGACAAUGGUUUGGAUGCUGUUGUGGAAAGUUUUUCGGUGUGGGAUGAGCUCGCGGCCUAUCAGCUUGUUGGUGGGGUAAUGGCCUACCAAGGCGUCGACGGGUAGCCGGCCUGAGAGGGUGUACGGCCACAGUGGGACUGAGAUACGGCCCAGACUCCUACGGGAGGCAGCAGUGGGGAAUAUUGCACAAUGGGCGCAAGCCUGAUGCAGCGACGCCGCGUGGGGGAUGACGGCCUUCGGGUUGUAAACUCCUUUCGCUAGGGACGAAGCGUUUUUGUGACGGUACCUGGAGAAGAAGCACCGGCUAACUACGUG